UUGGGAAAUGUGUAUUACCUUGAUCUUUAGAGAUGACUGCAUCCUGAUUGGUUAGCUGUGCUGCCCUCUCCCCGGAGGUCAGGAAGGGUCGUAAAUACAGAAGAAAUGGAAAGGCAGUUACCCCAGGAACAGAAGAAGCUUCUGUGUUUGGUGCCUAGCCUAGUGACUGUGCAGAUGGUCAUUGGAAGGAAAGAAUGGAACAUUGUUAUGAAAACUUUCUGAAUGUUUCCUAUAAGUGAAAAAUAUUGAGGCUGUUGGUGUUUUGCUCCCAUUUGCUUGUAUUUUGAAGGUUUGUGAAGAUACCUUGUCACCUUGUUACCAAUGUCAUUAUGUUGUAUUAAUAUGG